rnacentral:rRNA from 1 species
UACGUAGGGGGCUAGCGUUGUCCGGAAUCAUUGGGCGUAAAGAGCGUGUAGGCGGUCCGGUAAGUCCGCUGUGAAAGUCGGGGGCUCAACCCUCGAAUGCCGGUGGAUACUGCCGAGCUAGAGUGCGGAAGAGGCAACUGGAAUUCCCAGUGUAGCGGUGAAAUGCGUAGAUAUUGGGAAGAACACCUGAGGCGAAGGCGGGUUGCUGGGCCGACACUGACGCUGAGGCGCGAAAGCCAGGGAGCGAACGGG